GGACUAAUGAGUAUAGUUCAGCAGGAAUACUUCGAAAAAUUAUUAAAACGAUUUAAUAUGACCGAGUGUAAACCAAUAUCCACGCCUAUCGAAAACAGAUUGAAAUUAAGUAAAGGAAAGGAAAGUGAGAGAACAUCUAAACCAUAUCGUGAACUGAUCGGAUGUCUCAUGUAUGCGUCAGUUACGACAAGGCCCGAUUUUUCAGCGGCAGUAAAUUUCUUUAGCCAAUUUCAAUCAUGUCCUAACGAGGAACAUUUGAUUCAUUUAAAACGCAUUUUAAGGUACAUAAAAGGUAGUUUGGAUGUUAGGAUGGUAUAUAGGGCUGACAGGAAUGAACCGAUUUUGCAAAUUUAUUGUGAUGCGGAUUGGGCAAACAACGUAUCCGAUCGUCGUUCAAUUUCUGGGUACAUUGUGAAACUUUUCGGAAAUACUGUAGGUUGGUUGACAAGAAAACAGCAAAGUGUUUCAUUAUCAUCAACAGAAGCAGAGUUGAACGCUUUGUGCACUGGAGCAUGUCACACCAUCUGGGUGUUGCGCGUAUUAGAAGAUUUAUGGUUGUCCAUAACAUAUCCGGUACCCCUUUAUGAGGACAAUCAAUCGACUAUGAAAGUAGCGGAAGAUUCUAAAGACAUAAAGCGGCUCAAGCAUGUAGAUACAAAAUAUCAUUUUGUUAUGGAACUUGUACAACAAAAACGGAUUGAAAUCAUAUACAUGCCAUCAUCGAUGCAACAAGCCGAUAUCAUGACAAAGGGUCUAUCGCCAAACCUCUUCAAAGGUUUCUGUAAUAAGUUAGGAUUGGAGAGGGAGUAAAUCAAUCAGAUUGUUUGAAUUAUAUUUUGGUAUUUGGUUAGGAUAGUUAGGAUCCUAGAAUUGUGUGGGGGUGUUAAGGUAUCAAUUCAAGUAUCGAACUAUCCAUACGUAAACACAACAACUAUGUGUAAACGCGGCCUCAUGAACUUUGUAUAUAUACACUCUGAUUUCAAUAAAACUGUGUAGUCGCAUGCUAGCUGUUCUCGGUGUCACUUCAUUUGAUCACAUAUCACAACAUCUUUCGUAAAGAACCGCGUAUAAACCAGCAAUAUUCAAUAAAACCAAUGUUCAAUGUAGCAAUGUUCAAUAAAACCAAGUGAUAUCUUUAAGUAAAACAACACAACUCGGUAUAAGGUAAAUAAAAUAAAAUUGGCAAAUGAGGCCAACUGGCUCAAAGUCUCAAUAAAAGAUGACUAUAUUUGACGCUCUAGUUCGAUCCCUCCUUGAAUAUAAUUGCGUAACGUAGUGACCCAAUUCGCGUGCCUGCGGAUGUAUGAGACUAAAUAUAUCUGUUUAUUUUGCAUGCAAUUUCAUUUGCGUCAUACGAGAGCCAAUUUGCACAGGUUUUAUUAGUGAGUGCAAAAACACCUGUGGGGAAGGAUUUUUUGGGCUUUAAAUACGAUGAAGUAGUAUGGAAGUUGAGUUGCGCGCAAGGAUGCUGGCUGCCAACCGGUCAUUCUACAGCCUGAAAAAGCAGUUCACCUCAAAGAACCUGUCGCGACGGACGAAGCUGGGACUAUAUAGUACCUAUAUAGUACCAGUACUCACAUACGCCUCUGAGACAUGGACACUGUCCAAAUCUGACGAAGCCCUCUUAGCCGCGUUCGAGAGGAAGAUGCUCAGAAGGAUACUUGGCCCCGUAUGUGUGGAAGGACAAUGGAGGAGCUGCUAUAAUGACGAGCUAUACGAGAUGUACGGCGACCUCACUGUCGUACAGCGUAUUAAGCUCGCCAGGCUCCGGUGGGCUGGCCAUGUUGUACGCAUGGAAACGGACGACCCAGCCCGUAAAGUCUUUUUAGGCCGUCCACAAGGACAGAGGAGGCGUGGUAGGCCCAAAUUGAGGUGGCAAGAUGGCGUGGAGGCGUCCGCCAUUAAGGCCGGGAUAACGGACUGGCAGACGAAGGCGCGAGACCGUGAGCGGUUUCGGACACUCCUGAGGCAGGCCAAGACCGCAAAGCGGUUGUAGCGCCGGAUAAGUAAGUAAGUAAAUACGAUGAAGAGUUUGAGGAUUGCCAUAAUCGAACAGGUAGCAAGAUGAAACAAGUAAUCAGUCUAGUUCUAUUCGGAUUGUUUUGCGGCAACGCAGUCGUGACCAACGCCAACGGUCAGAACACAACGGAAGGACCCUCCCAUUCUGGCCGUAUUGUCAAUGGCAUCCCAGUGAAUAUUUCAAAUUAUAAGUAUGCACUGAGCAUGCGAUUUGACGGUGAAUUCAUCUGUGGAGCUUCCAUCAUCACUUAUUCACAUGCCUUGACUGCUGCUCAUUGUGUGUAUAAUUAUCAGUUCAUGUCAUCACGCCUAACUUUGUAUGGAGGAAGCACAUCUGCUUCUUCUGGUGGAGUUGAAUUUCCUGUUGUCCGCCUAGUAUAUCAUCCUUCUUACAAUUCUUAUAAAUCGAAUCUAUCGGAUUACGAUGUAGCUAUCCUAACUGUCCCUGCAAAUUCCUUCAGUGGAAAGCCAAAUAUGGCCCCAUUAGCGCUGCAAACUAAAGAACUGCCGGCCGAUACAAGGUGCUUCGUGGUUGGAUGGGGGAAGAGAGCGGAUGGGGAAAAUGAACAACCGUCUGUAAAUCAAUUGCUCUACGCCAACAUGAACAUUGUGUCACAGAGCGAUUGUGCUACAAUGUGGGCUAAUUCCGAGCAUCGUUGUCCAGCAUGCAAGCAAUCUAUUACCUCCAACAUGGUUUGUGCCCAGUACGGUAACAGUAUGGACACGUGCAGGGGUGACAGCGGUGGCGCAUUGGUGUGUGGAGGUAGAUUGACCGGAGUUGUGUCGUUUGCUCUUUACUGUUCAGGUAUAUGGCCAUCAGUAUUUGCUAAGGUAACUGCACCUACCAUUCGAAACUUUAUUCGCUAUUUCGCUGGAAUUUAGAUACUGGAUAUGUUGCAAAGCAGUAAUAAACAGAUGUGUAAUCAUAUUGUUGCGUAAAAUUUCUCAACGUUUAUUUGGGGAAGAAAAUUGGCAAUGUAGUGCAUAUCACAACCAUACAGGCAGUAAUUUUUUGAAAUAAAUGGAUCAUACAAUAGUAUUUAUGUGAUUUGUUAUGAAAAUAAUUGUUGUAUCUACACUGAAAACUUUAUUUUUGUGAUUCACAGUAAAAUUUUAUCGAAUUUGUUGAGCUGAAGAUUCAGUAAUCCUUUCAGUUAAACAUGCCCAGACUCAUUCAGACAUUCAGACUUAACAACAUGCCCAUCAUGGGUUCAAGCCCUGAAAAGACCGUGCCCCCAUACGUAGGACUGACUAUCCUGCUAUGGUAACAAUAAGUCACUGAAAGCCAAGCUCACUUCACUAGUGGGUACAGGCAGGCCUUGACCGACAGCGGUUGUUGUGCCAAAGAAGAAGAAGAAGUCUGUAAGCGCCUACCAAAUCAGCUUUUUGCACAUCACAAGCAGCAGGACACCUCGUUGUUUUGUUUUGAUAUUCUGACGGACAGGUCGAUUUGACAGAAUGAUUUGCUGCAUUUUCAGUCAUUUGUUUUAUUGAUCCAGUAAAACGACUAAUAUGACACCGAUUAUUUUGGAAGCCAAGUGUGCAACGGUUAUUUUGAUGUGAUAUUCUAUUAGUGUUGGAGCAACUGCUGGAGUCGAACAGUUCGAAGCGGAGCGGAACAAAUCCGUUUAUUUUUUGAACGUGUUUCCGCUGACAUCACUAGCGAUAUUAAUUUAGUGCUGAGAUUUAAUAAAUAGAUGACGAAAAGUCGUCCUCUUCUUCUCUGGCAAAUCGUCGUUACUAGAUUGGUAAUUAUUGGUAGCUUAGAAAACAGAAAGAAACGCGCAAGACUUUAUCCGAAAUUCUCCUUCGAGUAAACAUUGGUGCCGUGACCAGGGUAGUGUCGAAAUACUGAUUAGUCGAGAGUUUUUCGAUAAAGUAAAUAUUAUCUGCGCGCGCUUACGCUAACCCUUUUGUACACGCUCUCGCAUCAUUUGGCUGGCUUUACAUUACGCUAAUACCAAAAACUAUUCUUGUAAAAUGUCCGUGCAACCGACGAUCUUGGCGUCGAGAAGAACGAUUUUGCUAACUAUCUUGGGACGAUAAGAACAAUUUAACCAAGAUAACCAAUCUGAGCGGGACUCGAUUGAAGUUGAAACUCAAAUUAACAAAUUUGAGCAAAUGUGUAAUGAUUUGGAAAGCAUUCAUCAGCAGCUGGAAGAUAAUGCAAACAAGAUUUUGAUCCGCGACUCAUAAAACUGCAAGCUGCUUUGAAGGCAAAAUAUAGGCAAAUUCCUCGUAGCGAAGGGUCGCAGCAUAGGGCCGGCAUUAACUCGCUGCAAGGCUAAAGCUGCCCACCAUAGCAUUGCCCGAGUUCGAUGGCGACUAUAUGCAAUGGCUAAAUUUCCACGACACCUUUGAGUGUCUUAUUCACGAAAAUGAUGAGCUUCCCGCCAUACAGAAGUUUCACUACUUUCGCGCAGCCGUAAAAGGCGAAGCCGCACAAAUAAUUGAGUCGAUAACGAUAAGCUCGAAUAACUAUACUUCUUCUUCUUCUUCUUUUUGGCCCAACAACCGCUGUCGGUCGAUGCCUGCCUGUACCCACUAGUGAAGUGAGCUUGGCUGUCAGUAACUUAUUGUUACCAUAGCAGGAUAGUCAGUCCUACGUAUGAAAUAACUAUACACUGGCUUGAAAAAUGCUCACGGAAAGAUACUCAAACGAAUACCUGCUUAAGAAACGUCACUUGCAGGCUAUGUUUCGCAUCACACCGGCUAGGAAAGAAAGCUCAGCGGCAUUGCAUCAGCUGGUCGAUGAAUUCGAGCGUCAUAAAAAAAACGUUGAGCCAUUUAGGAGAAAGACAGAUGAAUAGAGCAACAUUUUGGAACAUUUGUUGUGUUGGAACAAAACUGCCAACAACAACACUACGCGCUUGGGAAGAGCAUGCGCCAAAUAAUGAAAAUCCCAGCUAUGAAUCACUUAUUACAUUUUUACAGCGCCGUAUGAGAGUUCUAGAAACGUUGUUAGUAAACAAAUCUGAGACGUUAAAUGAUGAAACACAAUCCUAUGCAAGACGAAAUAAUUUUACACGCACCUCCAGCUUUGCCACAACUGAUCGCGAGAACAACAGAUACCACUUAUGUAGCGGAAUUUGGGGCAAGUGUGCCAUACGGGGCAAUAGUGCCACCAAGCAUUUUUCCUUAAAAACUUUAGUUUUAUGAUCAAUUGUGUAUACAGUUGGUUCCUUUCCAAUGACUAGGUAUACUGAGCCGAAUUUCUUAUAAACCAAUCGAUAUUCCCCAUUGUUUUGAACUGAUUUAUAUUGAGUUUCAAAAUUGAUCAGAAUAUUAUAAUUUUUGAAUCCAAUCAGAUAAGCUCUCAAAAAUCAAGCAAACAAUCAACCGAGAAAAUAUUUACACCACCGUAUAGCUGAGAAAACGUGAAAUUUUUUGUGGGGUUAGUUGAAAAAAACUUUCUUUUUGUCACUGAAAAAUUCAAUUUCAAAAAAGUUACAACUUUUGGGGCAAGUGUGCCAUCUCUGUUUGGUGCAAGUGUGCCACCAUCUUUCAUAGGCGCGAGCUGUCAAAAAUGUAAACAUUGUUGUAGCGUGCUGCGGAAUGGUGCGCUAUUGUGAGCGGAUUCCACGCCAGAAAAACAGAACAGUAACAAACCAUAUUGUGGUACAGUUGGUGGUCAAAAAGGGUUCAUUGGUGACUAAAUACAUGUAGGAAUACAUACACUAGUGGUACAAACGUAAUUAUUUCCUAUUAUCUAAGAAAUAUGGUUAUUUUAACCAGGUGGCCAUCUUGCCCCAUACGAGUGGCACUCUUGCCCCAUAGCCCAAAAAACAACGUCUUUUUGGACCCUUUUUAAAACGCUUCAAAAACUGUUUUAUUUGCACUUUUUUCAAGCGAAACUCAUUUAUAAGUGAGGAAAUAGAUGUAAAAUGGUUAUGAGAUUGAAAUCGGCUUUUGAAAAACACGUUUUAGUGAGUUAUAACUUGAAAUGCUUAAGGUGGCACACUUGCCCCAAGUUCCGCUAAUAUGCCGCACACUAUCAUAAAAUGCCAGCGGUUCCUUGCCAUGAAUCCUGCGCAACGUUACCGAACAGCGCUUGAUGCGCGGUUAUGUCUAAAUUGCCUGCGGGACAAUCAUAGAGCUCGAGAUUGCUCCUCGCAGUAUAAAUGUCGCCACUGUAAUUUAGCACACCACACAAUGUUACACUCACAAGACACUCCCGGCACAUCCACUACUACACCAGUACAGCUAGCUGCGCGGGAUGAACCGGUACACCAAACACACAACACUAACGAUCCAACGGCUUACACACAACGUAGUUUUGUAGCUGCAGUUAGACAAGCACCUUCGCAGGUAUUGCUCCAGACUGCACUAUUGAAUGUUGUUGAUGCACAUGGCAUUGUGCAUCCUGUUCGAGCACUUUUGGACAGUGCUUCGCAGCCUAAUUUAAUGAUCAGCAGGCUCGCUCAGAGGUUAGCAUUGUGAAAUGACACUGUAAAUAUAACCCUCAAGGGGGCAGGUAUCUCCACCAGAACGGUGAAAAAAUCGGUGCGAGCUACGAUCGCCUCGAGAACCGAAGAUUUCAAGUUGGGUGUUGAAUUUUUGAUUGUUGACAAGGUGAUAGCUGAUUUGCCAGCGCAUGAUAUUUGUACUCGCAGCUGAAACAUACCGACUGAAAUCGUUUUAGCGGAUCCACAAUUUUACAAAUCAUCCCCAAUCGACAUCAUUCUUGGCGCUCGUCAUUACGCUUCAUUCUUUGUGAACGUAAAUCAGCACAAACUUGCUCCGAACCUUCUGACAAUGUUGAAUAGCGUAUUUGGUUGGGUUAGGAUUGGGCCCACCACUCCUCAAGAUCCUGCACCGCCGAGCGAUUGCACCACUGCAUCCACAAUCAUCUGCAAGGCCUCUCUAGGGGAUUCUACGGAACGCUUUUGGAAGCUAGAGGAGCUAAGUAUGAAAUAAGCGUACUCUCCCGAUGAGCGGCGAUGCGAAUCCUUUUAUAAAGAAAUCACCCAAAGAGACGAUUCGGGUCGGUACAUUGUGCGUCUACCCAGACAGCCUGAUUUUAACCAAAAGCUUGGCCUGUCUAAUGCAACUGCACUUCACCGUUUUGAGUUGCUGGAAAGGAGGUUGGAACGGAAUCCACAGCUCAAAUCCGACUACCACAAUUUCAUGAAGGAGUAUUUGGAGCUUGGCUCAGAUAAGAAAUGAUUCUGACGACGAAAAUGCUUACUUCCUGCCGCAUCAUCCGGUUUUUAAGGCAUCCAGUUCUACUACAAAAGUGAGGGUAGUAUUCGACGACUCGGCAAAGACAAGCUCAGGCUAUUCCAUAAACUAUGUACUUUGUGUUGGCCCUAUUGUGCAGGAUGAUCUACUGGACAUAAUUCUGCAAUUCCGUAUAUACAAGGUCGCCUUGGUCGGUGACAUAGCAAAAAUAACCGGCAAAUUGCGCUACACCCAGAUGAUCGCCGAUUAGUUCGAAUACUGUUUCGCUUCACGCCAGAAACACCUGUACACAUAUACGAACUGAACACAGUUACGUACGGACUUUCUCCGUCCUUGUUCCUUGCUACUAGGACACUGCUUCAGCUAGUAGAAGAUGAAGGUGCCAAUUAUCCACCAUGGAAGAGACUAUUGAUCUGCGGCGAGAGUUGUCCGAGUUACUUGCCAAUGGAGGAUUUGAAUUGCGCAAGUGGACGUCUAACUUGCUUGGUGUGCUUUCCGGUCUGAGUGCUGACCAUAUUGGCACGCAUAUCAUCACUACAUUUCGUACCCAAUGAAACAGUCCAGGCCCGGAAAGCAUCAAGCCCGAAACCGAUGAUCUAUGCUUCGAUUCGAAUGUCGGCAUCGAUGACACCUCUUCUACUAUGCGAUCGAUCUUAUCCAACAUUGCAAAAAUGUACGACCCACUCGGACUGAUCGCACCUAUACUUGUUGGAGCAAAAAUGUUAAUGCAGGAGCUAUGGCUGCUGAAAUCCGGCUGGGACGAACCUGUACCGCAACAAGUCUACAAGAAAUAAAAAGCAAUUCAAGAAUUUCACACUUUCACCGAUGCCUCCGAAGAUGCCUACGGAGCAUGCACAUACGUACGCUGUGAGACCGCGAAAGUUCCAUAUGGUCCUUCAAAAUAGCGUCUAAGUAGCUUCCUUAUGCCACGGUGCCAGGGAUUAUUUUUCUUUGUGUUUUAUUUUCAAGCAAGCGUCAUCGGUGAAAUAAAAAACGAAGAUUUGUUUCGUUUCAGCACAUGUAAAUAUUUUUAAAUCCUUUGUAUUGAUGAAUUACACAAAAUUUUACACAAUUUACUGAUAAAUCAUAAUCACUUCACUCAACAUUCAUUCUUCAAUUAACGAAUCUAACUUGUGCAGCAGCAAUGAGAUGAUUGACGGCGUCAGUCUUUGACACUUUGACAAGAGCCACCUUGUACCGGUGUCAUGCAUUAAAAAGCUAUGAAGUUCCACCAAGUUCGUUACACGUUCUUAACAAGCCUUAAAGUUCUAUCAUGAACGAUCACGGUGUCCCGAUAGCAUAUAGCACCUUUACACGCUAUAUUCGUCCCAUCAGCUAAGCAAAUCUCCGGUUG